rnacentral:lncRNA from 1 species
UCCAGCAUCAAGGUGAAUAAAUUCGCAGGCGUACAUUAGAACCAGCAGUUAGAAGCACCAUAUUUGUUUUUCGAAUAAGAAUCAAGAAUUUUUGAGUAAUGCUGCAUUCCAGUUUGUACGAACUACACCAGGUGGUCAUACUGGUAAAGGUACUGGUAUCUGUUAUGCCCAAUAUACGUGUGCUGGACCAACAACAUGCAGGA